rnacentral:lncRNA from 1 species
UUUGGUUCCAUUGGCAAAGUCAUGUCAUUCUAAAUAUUAUAUCAUAUAGCAAGUUAGCAACCCUUUGGGUGAAUGAUAAAUUGAUACAAUAGUUUACUUGUCCCCAUUUCUGUUCACUGAGUUGUCACUCCUUGCAACAAGUAAAACUAAUUAUGUCUGAAGUUUCUUCUUUGAGCUACUUUUAAACUUGUUAGUGACUAUAUAGAUCAUUAGUUAUGUUGGAUACAUAAAAAUGAA